CCUACGGGAGGCAGCAGUGGGGAAUAUUGCACAAUGGGGGAAACCCUGAUGCAGCGACGCCGCGUGAGUGAAGAAGUAUUUCGGUAUGUAAAGUCCUAUUAGCAGGGAAGAAGAAAGACGGUACCAGCGUAUGAGGCCCCGCCUAACUACGUCCCAGCAGCGGCGGUAAUACGGAGGGGGCAAGCGUUAUCCGGAUUUACUGGGCGUAAAGGGAGCGUAGACGGCUGUGCAGGUCUGAAGUGAAAGCCCAGGGCUUAACCCUGGGACUGCUUUUGAAACUGUGGAGCUAGAGUGUUGGAGAGGUAGGUGGAAUUCCUGGUGUAGCGGUGAAAUGCGUAGAUAUUAGGAGGAACACCAGUGGCGAAGGCGGCUUACUGGACAGUAACUGACGUUGAGGCUCGAAAGCGUGGGGAGCAAACAGGAUUAGAUACCCCAGUAGUC
rnacentral:rRNA from 1 species